GAAUUUGUCUUCUGUGUGUCUUCUCCAUAACACAAUGAAGGAAGUUCAUUCCAAUGAGGCUCAAAUUCAUACAGCUGUCUCCUGUACCUCCCAUCACCCAACCUCUGACGACUCAGCCUAACACACAUCACCACCGCCACCACUCCUCAGCCUUCCAGGGUCUUCCUGAUUCUGCUGGCUUUACAGGACCUUCCGUAUAGCCGUAGGUGUGUGCUGGCAGAGAAGCACUGUUGAAACUGAGUCCACAGGAUCUGCCCACCUAAAUCCUAUGAGAACAGCGACGCUCCCAGGCAAACUUGUGAUGGAGAUCUGGCCAGUGCCUGUCUUUCUCUCUUCUUGAUGGAAGACCCUCUUCAGCCUAAGAUUCUACUCUGAUCCCAGUGUCUAGCCUUACCAGCUAUGCCAUCUUACAACCAUGUAAACUGAGUAAUUUAAUUUCUCUGUGCCUCCAU
rnacentral:lncRNA from 1 species